UGCCCCACCGCCAACUUCGCCAAACCAGCUCUCUCCCGGCGCCCCCCAACCCCGGACGAACCUGUGGGGCCUGGGGCUUGCGGGCGGAAGGGCGGGGCCGGAGCGCAGGACGCCGGCUCCGGGCACAGGUAUUGGGCGAGGUGGGCGGAGAAAGGCAGCACCGGCCGCCCGGCGAGUCCCAGUCCGGGGACUGCGUGUUGUUCUGCGCGGACCGUGGGUGAUCAGUCCCCCCCGUGCGGAUGGGGUUAAACGGGAGCUCGGAGGUCCGCCCGUGGGGACCACCCGUUAGCCUCGGGCCAGGAAAGGUACGGAGAGACUGAAAGCUGGCCGCAAAAACUCUUCUGAGCCUUUGGGGUUUUUCUUGCCCUGCCUUCAGAUAAUCUGCUGUGAAAACCAGUCCAGACUACUAUCAGAACUAGUCAAGAUAUUUUGCCACAGGAUCUAGAACAAAAACGUGCACUGGCUUCUGUCUUCGGAGGACUCUGCUGCUGCACGGGACGGGCAGCCGUCUACUCUGGCUCUUCCUCCGUGUGGGGACCUCUUUUGUUCACUGUGCAUCUAUCUAGGCUGGACCUGGCCUGAAAUUGGGCCUUUGGGUCCCUGCUGUACUUUCCAACUUGCCAAGUUUCUCAAAGGACCAAAGCCAUGCUAACAGCUCCCAGAGGAAGAGGAUUAACUACUGCUUGACUUCAAAAGGAAGUUUCUGCUAAUUCCUCUGAUAAAAAUCAAAACAGGCCCA